rnacentral:lncRNA from 1 species
GUGGGAAAAAAAUAUAUAUAAAAAGUAACACAAGAAAAUGAAAUAACAAUAACGAGGCUAUAUACGGGGGGGACUGGUAACGAGUCAAUGUGCGGGGGUACAGGUUAGUCAAGGUAAUUUGUAAAGUGACUCUGCAUAGAUAAUAAACCGCGAGGAGCAGCAGUGUAAAAACAAAUGUAAAUGGUCCGGGUGGCCAUUUGACUAAUUGUUCAGCAGUCUUAUGGCUUGGGGGUAGAAGCUGUUAAGGAGCAUUUUGGCCCUAGACUUGGCACUCCUGUAUCACUUUUCGUGCGGUAGCAGAGAGAACAGUCUAUGACAUGGGUGACUGGAGUUUUUGCCAUUUUUUUGGGCCUUCCUUUGACACCGCCUAGUAUAUAGGUCCUGGAUGUCAGGAAGCUUGGCCCCAGUGAUGUACUGGGCCGUACGCACUACCAUCUGUAGCGCCUUACAGGCAGAUACCGAUCAGUUGCCAUACCAUGCGGUGAUGCAACCGGUCAGGAUGCUCUCGAUGGUGCAGUUGUAUAACUUUGAGGAUCUGGGGACCCAUGCCAAAUGUUUUCAGUCUCCUGAGGGGGAAAAGGUGUUGUCGUGCCAACUGUUUUGGCGUGUUUAGACCAUGACCAUGACACAUAGCUGGCAAAUAGCUUACCAUUAGCUCAUCAUAAUCAGUACAACCUUCAAAAAAUGAUUUUAUACACCUCAUACAUUGUAUCAAUUAGAAUCAAUGCAAGAAUCAGAAUGCAUGAUGUCACUAGUACUUGAAAACAUGUAAAUAAAGAAAUUAUUACCACACAAACCAUUUUCUGAUAGUGAUUUAUUGAUACAAGUGGCCCAUUCAGGUGUUAUGAUAACGCUACUGAUGACUUGUCGCCACAGAUGGUUUGUUUACGUUUCUAACGUUGAGGCUCAAUGGAGUAGCUAGGCCUACAAUAGCUCCAUCUAGUGGUUAUGUCGGGGACAACUGUUGGUGACAACUGUAGCUUGUAGACAAGCCUAACCCUAACCCUUUUCCUAACCUUAACCUCAUUCUCUUAACCUAGUAUAUAUAAUUCACCAAACCUGCUGCAUUAGUUAUCCUAACCUGCCAUGUUAAUUAUCCUAACCUGCUGUAUAACCAAACCCUUUGUGGAGACAAAUCAUCAGUAUCACCACACCGGUAGCCAAUCACGUCGCCCCUGACACUCACUUGGAGCCAUUCAGUGUUGUUUUUUAUGUAUGUAGCUAGUGGGCUAAGCUGUAGCAUUAGCAAUGUCUUUAAAAAGAAGACAAUUUACAAAUAUGGAAAUUCUGGAAAUUUUUGUAAAUUCUGAUAAUGAUUCUGAUUAUGACAGUGAGGAAUCAGGUUCUGACAGUGAGAGUAAGGAGCUGCCCCCCAACCUUGUAGCCAUUGAGAACUCUGAAUCUGAGGACCCUUUGCCACCGAAGAAGUCCCAGGUCCCUCUGAAGAUGCUGGUGGUGAUGGAGGCACAUCAACAGUGAGUGAAAUACGGGAGGUCUGCGGUAGCUGGAAGGCCUCCAGUAAUUUCACCCAUCCUGGCCAUGCUGUUGGUUUUUAUGAGUCCCAGUCGAGUGCAAAGCCCCUUGUCAUCUCCAUCUGAGGCAGAGUGCUUCAAGCUGUUUCUGACAGAGGACCUGUGGGAGAUAUAGUGGAGGAAAUCAAUAAAGAGGAAUUAUUAGUAAUUAGCAGGGGCACAACUUUGGUUUUAGAAGUGGGGGGGACAUAACCUUGUGGUGGGUCUGGGGGUCCUUCCUCAGAAUUGUUUUGGCCAUAUAACGCUAACUUCCUGCAUUUUUAAUAGGUUUGUCCAUGACUAAAAACAAAUUAUUCAGACCCCUUCACUCUUUCCACAUUUUGUUAUGUUACAGCAUUAUUCAAAAACGGAUUAAAUACAUUCUUUCCCUCGUCAAUCUACACACAAUACCCCAUAAUGACAAAGUGAAAACAGGUUUUCAGAAAUCUGUCAACAUUUUCUUUUAAAACCUGUUUUCACUUUGUCUUUAUGGGAGAUUGAUGAUGAAAACAAUUAAUUUAAUCCAUUUUAGAAUAAGGCUGUAACGUAAAAUGAAAAUAAGAAAAAAUAAAAAGCUAGCAGGGUACUAGCAGGAGUGGCCAGGAGAUACCCUAAGAUGGUGACAGGCAAGUUCCACCAGACAGGGGCUGACGCGGCCGGGCCAGCCUGAGCAGACUGAGUCCAUGUGGCAGCAGGCAGACACCACUGGAUGGCAGCAGGCUGGACUUGGAAGGUAGGAACAGGUAAAUCCCACCAGGCAGGGGCCGACUGACAUAUCAGCUGGAGUAGUGUGCUCUCUCAGGGAGAGCUCUGGUAGCUCCUCCAUCCCUGGAAAAGGCUCUGUGGUUUCUAUGAUGGACUCCACAGUUGGUGUCAGCUGGAGAAAAGUAGUGGUUUGCUCCUCCAGGGUGAGCUUUGGUAGCUCCUCUGGCCUUGAAGAAGGCUGUAGAGCUAAGGUGGAAACCAGUUGAGACACCACGGCUGAAGUAGGUUGGAGCACAGUGGUGGGGUACUCCUCCAGGGUGAGCUCUGUUACUGGAGAAGGCUGAGGCUCUAUGGCAGGAGUGGGUGUAGUAGACCCCACUACUAGCUUCAGCUCCAUGGUCAGAGCAGGAUGGAUCUGCAUGGCUGGUCCAGUGAUGGGGUACUCCACCAGGGUGUGUUCUGGUAGCCCCUCUGGCCCUGGAGAAGGUUGUAGCACCACUAUCAAAAGGGGUCGGAUCCGAGGUGGGCUGAUGGCGACUCUAAUGCUGAAGGUGACGAUGUCGUCGAGCGCUCAUGUUGAUGGAGGCGCUGAUGAGCAGUUUCAAGCUGGCGAGAUUGGUGUGGGGCUACAGGGUGUAAAUCUGCAGCAACCUCUUGAUGGUGAGCCACAGCAGCUGGCACUGAAUGAGAAGGUGCAUGAAGAAGGGGAUGUGAGGACUGGUCAGCCUCCACUUGGUCAGGAUGGGCAUCCCUUUUGGUGACCAAUGGGGGUGACCAAUGGGUGUGAUCUUCUUCUUGUCGUAGAUACUGAUCUGUCCCUUUCCUGCAUCUUCUCACUACCAACCCUUCCAUCAAUCCCUGCAUUCUCACAGUCUUCUCUGUGGUGUGCAGGUACAAACCUGUGGCACUGGAGGUUCAGCUGGCUGUAGGUGUGGUUUGGCUAGUGUAACCACGAGUUGCUCCAUCUGUUUGAGCUCCUUCUUGGCCUCAAGAAAUAUCAUGUCAGAGAGGAAAGCUUUUUUGCUUUACUCUGAUAGAAUCCAACAGAUCUUCUGCAUACAGGUCACCGAGACCAAUGGAGGGGAAGUGGCAUGCCAUGUCUUGAGGCUUGUGUACUCGUUUUCAUUCAGGGAGAGGAGACUGCACUCUUACAAAUAAGGGUACAGUGUCUCCCGAGUGGCAAAGCGGUCUAAGGUACUGCAUCGCAGUGCUAGAGGCGUCACUACAGACCCGGGUUCGAUCCCAGGCUGUGUCGCAGCUGGCUGAGACGGGGAGACCCAUGAGGCGGUGCGCAAUUGGCCAACCGCCGUCCAGGUUAGGGGAGGGUUUGGCCAAAAAAUAAAGCUUGAAUGGUGUUCACAAAAAACAUAAUUAUUUUAAGAAUUAUAGAAGCAGAACUCCUCUAUGCACUCGCUAUGUCCGAUUUUAAAAUAGCGUUUCGGUGAAAGCACAUUUUGCAAUAUUCUCAGUGGAUAGCCCGGCAUCACAGGGCUAGCUAUUUUGACACCCACCAAGUUUAGCAUUCACCAGAUUUACUAUAAGAAAAAUGUUAUUACUUUUGCUGUCUUCGUCAGAAUGCACUCCCAGGACUUCUACUUCAAUAACAAAUGUUGGUUUGGUUCAAAAUAAUCCAUAGUUAUGUUCAAAUAUCCUCUGUUUUGUUCGUGCGUUCAAGACACUAUCCGAAUGGUAAAGAAGGGUGACGCGCACAACGCAUUUCGUGACAAAAAAAUACGAAAUAUUCCAUUACCGUACUUCGAAGCAUGUCAACCGCUGUUUAAAAUCAAUUUUAUUGCCAUUUUUCUCGUAAAAAAGCGAUAAUAUUCCGACCGGGAAUCUGUGUUUAGGUUCAAAGACGAAUUAAAAUAAAAACAUGGGGUCGACUCGUGCACGCGCCUCAGCCCAUUGUCCUCUGAUAGAGCACUUGCCAAAAGCGCUAAUGUGUUUCAGCCAGUGGCUGGAAUUACAUCAUUCAGCUUUUUCCCGCCUUCUGAGAGCCUAUGGGAGCCGUAGGAAGUGUCACGUUACAGCAGAGAUCCUCAGUCUUCAAUAAACAGAGUCAAGAAGCUCAAGGAAUGGUCAGAGAGGGCACUUCCUAUACAGAAUCUUCUCAGGUUUUUGCCUGCCAUAUGAGUUCUGUUAUACUCACAGACACCAUUCAAACAG